rnacentral:rRNA from 1 species
AAGAUACCAGGCCGCUGCGACUGUUUAUUAAAAACACAGCACUCUGCAAACACGAAAGUGGACGUAUAGGGUGUGACGCCUGCCCGGUGCCGGAAGGUUAAUUGAUGGGGUUAGCUAACGCGAAGCUCUUGAUCGAAGCCCCGGUAAACGGCGGCCGUAACAAUAACGGUCCUAAGGUAGCGAAAUUCCUUGUCGGGUAAGUUCCGACCUGCACGAAUGGCGUAACGAUGGCGGCGCUGUCUCCACCCGAGACUCAGUGAAAUUGAAAUCGCUGUGAAGAUGCAGUGUAUCCGCGGCUAGACGGAAAGACCCCGUGAACCUUUACUAUAGCUUUGCACUGGACUUUGAAUUUGCUUGUGUAGGAUAGGUGGGAGGCUUUGAAGCGUGGACGCCAGUUCGCGUGGAGCCAUCCUUGAAAUACCACCCUGGCAACUUUGAGGUUCUAACUCAGGUCCGUUAUCCGGAUCGAGGACAGUGUAUGGUGGGUAGUUUGACUGGGGCGGUCUCCUCCUAAAGAGUAACGGAGGAGUACGAAGGUGCGCUCAGACCGGUCGGAAAUCGGUCGUAGAGUAUAAAGGCAAAAGCGCGCUUGACUGCGAGACAGACACGUCGAGCAGGUACGAAAGUAGGUCUUAGUGAUCCGGUGGUUCUGUAUGGAAGGGCCAUCGCUCAACGGAUAAAAGGUACUCCGGGGAUAACAGGCUGAUACCGCCCAAGAGUUCAUAUCGACGGCGGUGUUUGGCACCUCGAUGUCGGCUCAUCUCAUCCUGGGGCUGUAGCCGGUCCCAAGGGUAUGGCUGUUCGCCAUUUAAAGUGGUACGCGAGCUGGGUUUAGAACGUCGUGAGACAGUUCGGUCCCUAUCUGCCGUGGACGUUUGAGAUUUGAGAGGGGCUGCUCCUAGUACGAGAGGACCGGAGUGGACGAACCUCUGGUGUUCCGGUUGUCACGCCAGUGGCAUUGCCGGGUAGCUAUGUUCGGAAUAGAUAACCGCUGAAAGCAUCUAAGCGGGAAACUAGCCUCAAGAUGAGAUCUCACUGGAACCUUGAGUUCCCUGAAGGGCCGUCGAAGACUACGACGUUGAUAGGUUGGGUGUGUAAGCGCUGUGAGGUGUUGAGCUAACCAAUACUAAUUGCCCGUGAGGCUUGACC